rnacentral:rRNA from 1 species
UGCUAAGUUGCGGUAUCCUGACCGUGCUAAGGUAGCAUAAUAAUUUGCCUCCUAAUUAGAGGCUCGCAUGAAUGAAUGCACGAGAGUCUAGCUGUUUCACUUCUAUAAAUAAAAACUAUCCUUUAAGUGAAGAGACUUAAAUAAAAUAAAAAGACAAAAAGACCCUAUUGAGCUUUACUUAAAUGCUUAGGCCACAAUUAAAAUUUAAUACCACACCUACCCACAAGUUUUGUUGGGGCGACAGAGGAAGAACUUAAUCUUCCUUCUUCAAAAGGAAACACUCCGUCCCAAGCGAUCCAUAAACUAUGAUCAAAGAAACCAGCUACCAUAGGGAUAACAGGCUAAUCUUCUUUGAGAGCCCAAAUUGACAAGAAGGUUUGGCACCUCGAUGUUGGCUUAGGAAAACCAC